UAAUAAUAACAACUCUCGCAGAUUUCGGACAGUGCGAAUCAAGAUCGCGAUCGCGAAAUGUCGAUGCGCGUAGAAUGCGUUACGAAAAUCGGGAAUAACGCGUUAAUUAUGUAUCCAGGUGUACUCAACCAAACUGAAAUUUGUCAAAUUUACCAAAUUAAAUGUUACUUGAUUUAACAAUAAUAAAACGAACAAAAAAGUACUUAAUCGGAAGAUUAACUUCUCUUAUAUCAAUCGACAAAAGCAUGUAUAUUAUAACAAUUUGUAUAAUUUUAUUUCGUAUUGAUUCAAGGUGCCUUUAAAGUCUGACAGUUUGCAAUAGAAAGUAUUCUGUAACUUGUAGAAUCAAUUUGUUAUAUCAGUCUGAAACGAUCAGCUGUUCACGAAGCGCGGCGCCAUAUUGGCUAAUACAAAUCUCGGGAAUAUUGUUGCGGGGGAAAAAGAAUUGUCAUCAUCGAUGAUAUAUGGCACGAAUAAAUAAGUUAAGCGUGCAGUAACGAAUGAAUAUCGGUGUAACAUCGCGGCGGAAGAAGUGUAACAAAGAUCAUCGAAUCAUAGACGAUAAAUAAAUAGAAAUUAAAAAUAAAUAAAAUAAUUUAUAAAUCUUCAAAAAUGUCGGGAUAUGCGGAAGUGGUGAUAGAGAGUAACUUGAAACCGUCGCAGUUCGGAAAAUCCGGGGGAAAUAAUGAAGAUUUCGAAGAAACUUACGAGAGUCCGCUUGAAAAGUCUAAACCCAUGCCACCGCGGAUGAUGCCGAUGGCGGAAGCGGUCGAGGAACUGCCGCGAAACGAACCGGAAAUCAUGGAGUUUUCAAACGCGAGAAAAACGAUCGAAGAAUCGAACAACAGGGUCAAGACGUUGAACAAGCGCAGCACGGCCGGCUUUACGAACGAGGGAUUCGAUCAGGGAUCCGAGGCGAAUUUCAUACCGGAUCCUCCGACGAGAAAGAGCGAGAAUCUCGAGAGCCAGGAUCUGCAGAUCAGGCCCAAAUCUCUCGCCAGCGUCGAUCCGGAAAAGGGGAAAAACGAUCCUCCACCGCCUUCUCCGCCCGAACAGGACAAACCGGACAUUGGAUUUCGGAGCGUGAUUAAUGCUAUCAAGUCGUUGGACGUCAAUCGAUAUGCCACCAAGAAGACGAUCGCUCAAGGGAUGCUGGACAUCGCUCUUCUUACCGCUAAUGCGUCACAGCUGAAAUACAUCCUGCAGGUUGGAAAGCAGCACGAGUUCUAUAUCCUGAUGCUGUCGUUGAUCUGUACGUCAAUCGGUCUCCAGAUCCUUUCCGGGCUUCUUUCACUCUCCUUAAAUUUGCUGAGGGACUGCAGGAUGGAUGACAACGCAUUCGCUCGAUCGGUCGACUUGAUCGGCAAGGCUAGAGUCACCCUCAGCUUCGUCGUAUUCCUGGACAAUUUGUUCAUCGCGACGUUCGAUCCGACCGGAUUGAACGGUCUCCUGAUGUCCGAUGUCGCCGCCGAAAUGCUGUCGGGUAGCAAUUGAUGUCGACGUUGCGUUUUGAGAGAAAGAGUUUAUAUGCGUACGGGAAUGUGAAAGAUAUGGCGCGUGCCACGUUGCAAUUGGAUCAAUUUGCCGAAUUAGGCCUUCGUCGGCGUUCUUUACGUCAUUAUCGGCGGGCUGAACAUCAACAAGAGUCGGGAUCACAGGGCAGCCUUGAUACUUAACGACUUGAUACUACUGGGGGUGUUUUUGAUCAGUCUUAUCAACA
rnacentral:misc_RNA from 1 species